rnacentral:rRNA from 1 species
GAUGAACGCUAGCGGCAGGCUUAAUACAUGCAAGUCAAGGGGGUAGCAAUACUACCGGCGCACGGGUGAGUAACACGUACAUAACAUACCAUAUACUGGGGUAUAGCUUUGGGAAACUGAAGGUAAUCCCCCAUAACAUUGCGAGAGGGCAUCUGAUUGCAAUUAAAGUUUCGACGGUAUAUGAUUGAUGUGCGUUUGAUUAGCUUGUUGGUAGGGUAACGGCCUACCAAGGCGACGAUCAAUAGCUGGUCUGAGAGGAUGAUCAGCCACACUCGGAAUGAGACACGGUCCAGACUCCUACGGGAGGCAGCAGUAAGGAAUAUUGCUCAAUGGCCGAAAAGGCUGAAGCAGCAACGCCGCGUGGAGGAUGAAAUACUUUUGUAUGUAAACUCCUGUGAGAAGGGAAAAAUAUGCAGAUUUUCUGCGUUGAUUGUACCUUCAGAGGAAGCCCCGGCUAACUACGUGCCAGCAGCCG